CCUACGGGAGGCAGCAGUGGGGAAUAUUGGACAAUGGGGGGAACCCUGAUCCAGCCAUGCCGCGUGUGUGAAGAAGGCCCUCGGGUUGUAAGGCACUUUCAGUGAGGAAGAACGCCUGGUGGUUAAUACCCAUCAGGAAAGACAUCACUCACAGAAGAAGCACCGGCUAACUCCGUGCCAGCAGCCGCGGUAAUACGGAGGGUGCGAGCGUUAAUCGGAAUUACUGGGCGUAAAGCGCGCGUAGGUGGCUUGAUAAGCCGGUUGUGAAAGCCCCGGGCUCAACCUGGGAACGGCAUCCGGAACUGUCAAGCUAGAGUGCAGGAGAGGAAGGUAGAAUUCCCGGUGUAGCGGUGAAAUGCGUAGAGAUCGGGAGGAAUACCAGUGGCGAAGGCGGCCUUCUGGACUGACACUGACACUGAGGUGCGAAAGCGUGGGUAGCAAACAGGAUUAGAUACCCUUGUAGUC
rnacentral:rRNA from 1 species